CUUGGGUUUCUUGGUCCUGAGGGUCUGAGGCAGCCUUCUUGGCGCCCUCUGCAGGCAAGGAUGGAGCUGCGUGGGCGGGACGUCUCUAGCACCUGAAAGCAGAACACUGCCCUGGCUGUGGUAGCCCACUCUGACCCGACAGCGUGGCCAUCUCAGCCUGGGGAGGCCCUGGGAGGCUCCAGGACUCAGGCACAGCAGUGUCUGACAAUAAGAACAGGGCACAGCCCGGGACCCUGCUCACAGCGCCUCCAGCCGAGUGGGGGUCAGAGCCGGGCCAGGCCUCUCCAGGUUCACACGCAGCCUCGCUAAGGCUGCUGAGCCUCCGGCACAGCCUUUCAGCCACAGGUGCUGCCGGGGACCCAGGCUGUCCCUGCUCCAAGCUGUCCCUGCUGCGGACCCCAGGAAGGCCCUGCCCAGCCUGAGCCUCCAUUUUUCAGCCUUUGGGACCCUCCGCCUGCCUAAGGAGGAGACGGGGACCGAGCAGCCAGCCGUCUGUGCAGUGUAGCCAACCGCAGCCCACCCACCAGGGCCCAGGCGGUUUAGAGGGGAGAAACCAGGGUAGUGCCUGCCCCUGGCAGGGUCGUCCGUGGGCUGCCACUGUGCAGGCCUGUUAGAGUGACAGCAGAAGCCCUGUGUGGGAGAGGAGGCUUGGUGCUGCCCUGGGCCUGCAUGGAGAUGAGCAGGCUCCGCAGGACACAGAGUGCUGAGAGGCGGAGCUGGGGGCGCAGGACAGAAGCUCUGGGGGUCCACCCCUGCACUCCCACUGCGCCCGAGAACCUGUACGCAGUGACCAGGGCGAAGGCAGGAGGGCCGGGCUGGGCCUGGGGCGCCCCUUGCUGGAUGGACAGGCACACUCCACAUGCUAUCCACGUGUGGCCCCGCCCUCCGAGGGGUCCACUGCCCCUGUUCUACAGAUGACAAAACUGAGUCCCCAGAGGCUCAAGGCUUGCC
rnacentral:lncRNA from 1 species